UCAUCACUGCUAUCAGAGCUAUAUCCUCCUCCCCCCCCAGCUCCUGGUGACGACUGACGGCUAGCCACAGGGAUCACUCGAUUAUACAGGAGACGAUAUUGGCCAGAUUUACAAACCCGGGGUUCUCGACAUAAACAAGCAAUUUCAACCUGCUUUGAAAAUUUAACCUUGUUUCGGCACCUACGAAUUCCUGUGCUAAAUGUGGUAAGCUUGCAGUCUUCAAGGCACCUGGCAAGAUGAGAUCGAAUAGAAACUGUGUUGCCAAAUUUCUGGAUACAUGGAUCUCUAUGGCAGCAGAGUUCGAAAGCGAUAGCAAUCGCAAGCACGCCACAGUCUGAUCCAUUUGACUGCCUCUGAACAUCCAUCAUAUUGAUGGAUAGUGUGGGCGUUGAACAGGAGACAAGGCUACAUACAACCCGUACGGUGAUAUUCGAAGGUCUAGCAAAGAUCGUGUCAUACACAUUCACCGUACCUUCGUCACAGCCCACAUUCGAUACAACACACCAGUGACUGUUACCAACAAUGAUAAUUUGCACAAAGAUCUGAUCCUUGUGACAAUCGAAGGCCUGAUGCUGUGCAAGCGUAGGUGGUUGCAAUCCCUUCAUCAAAGGAGAGUGCUGUAGCAUUAAUAGCUGAGCAGCAGUGAUGACCCUGUCAUUGAGCCAACCACAAGAAGAUACUACCUCUUCCUUUUCUGCGAUGGUUAAUUUGUAUAAACAGUUCUCCAUCCAUACUUUUUCAUUUGUAGCAGCUGUGGUAGGGCCAUCAUCUUCGGAAAUGUCUACAACGACAGGUUUGGGAAUGACACACUUGCACUUAGCAAGGCAGGCAGCUUCAAGGGCGGCAGCAGCCAAAGAGAUAUUUGGAGAAGCGCGCCAAUUCCCUAGUGAAAGGCUGUGGUUACUGUUACUCAAAGAAAUUGUCAACACUUCUGGGGAAUAGCUUGCGUUAAGAAUACCACCGCCACAAUACAACCGAAAAAGAUUGCCUACUUUUUUAGCAAUCCGACAGAGAAGGUGCUGCUCUCCAAAACGACUGCUGUGAAGAUAAACGUACAUGCCAACUUCUAGCCUGUCCGUCUUGUCUACGUUGAUUUGUGGUUCGGGUUGUGCUGCAUUGGUUCGAUCGUUGAUGUGUGGUUCGCUGAUGUGUUUGUGAGCACUGACAUGCUCGUCUGGGAUCUCAUGGUCACUGUCUACGUCAGUCAUUGGUACAUGUGCAUCACCAUCAGGAGUGACAACAUCAUGCUCGUCUGGGACACCGUCGUAACACUCUAUGUCUGAGUCAUCACCAUCAGGCUCAUCUGGGACACCGUCGUAACACUCUACGUCUGAGUCGUUUAUUUUGGUAUGUGCAUCACCAUCAGGAGUGACAACAUUAUGCUCGUCUGGGACAUCGUCGUAGUUUAUUCUGGCAUGUGCAUCACCGAAAGUGCGCGACAGGUUGAGCCUUUUGUUGUAAGGGCGGGUGGGAUUCUUUUCCCUGUGAUAGUAGUUUUGGGGGUUCAUGGGACAGUAUCGUUUGUGAGCUCUUCCAUUAGCACCGCAAAUGCACCCACUGAGGAUGUCUUCUUCAAACGUGCCCAUAUCAAACUCCUCACUUGCGUAGUCUGAGUUGUUACUGCUGUCCUCCUGUCCAUCCUUGUGAGCGUCUUUCUUGGCUCGUUUCUUGGCUCUUGGCUGGUCUUUGCUCUGUUUCUUCUUAGGGCUGGACGCAGUCUUGGUUGCUUUUUUUCCGUAUGUGUCACGUCCAUGUUGGUCUGUCCAGACAAUGCGUUGCUGUCGAUCUAUCACUCUUAGCUUCUUCAGCUGCACUCGUCGUUUUUUGGUCUUUUCUGUUUUGACUCCUUCAAGUACUUUCUUCCUCUGUUGAUUUUGCUUGGACAACACCUCUUGUACACCUUCGUACAAUGGUAGAUUCAUUUUUUUGUAGAGCUCGGUUUUCCAGUGAUAGUCAGCCCCCUGUUGUUGAUACUCGUGUGUCAUGUUGGCUUGCAAUAGGCCGAGGUUGGUUGAGACAAUGUAAUGGAGCCUCUCUAAGAAUACGUGCUUUUGUCUAAAUCGUAUCAGAACACUGUGUGAACUCUCGAGCCAAUUGGAGUGGCCACGCUUCAGGAUGGGGUGGACUAGCUUGUCGGCCAUUUUUGUUCUCGUCAGGCACUCAAUUUUGUAUGCUAGUAGGUGAAAGGGGCAACGUAAUACCUCUUUCGUACGAUACAGUUUCCCUUCACACUCGUGGUGAUUUUUAUCGGCACACUCGCCGCAGUUACAUAGUGUAAGGGGGUGAAAGUCACACUGUCGAGCAACCACGCCGUCAGAUUCGAACUCGCAUUCUUUACAGGUGGUUAGAUAGUGUUUUUCACAUGUUUGUUCUUCCUCCCAUUGGUGCUCAUCCUGUACGUGGUGUGUUAGAUGACUGAGUCGUCUUGAGAAGUCAGCGGCAGACUCGCAGGUCGACAGUAUGGUGGAGAAGCUAUUUCUCGAACGCUGGCAGAACACGUCUGUCAGACAUCCGCAUCCUGCCUUACAAUUUUUGGAUUUGCAGUGACACUCGACAUUAACAACUUCUGGAAAAAAAUGUUUCUCCCUGUUUUGUAGUGCGGCAGUGAACUUCUUUUGCUUGCCUCGAACCAUCAGUAGCUUGAGGUGAGACUUUGCAGCAUGACCUCCGCACAACAUGAUUUUGGCACCGGGAAACGCUUUUAAGACACGUUUGCUAGAAGAAGAGUCACCAUCUUGCCAGUGGACUUCAAUGUUCAAACCCUCUGUGCGUGCCACAUUCAUCAAUUGUGUUGCACUGUACCCUUCAGUUGACUUAGAUGUGCCUUUGUACAGCGGUUCUUCGAUGAUGUGGUCUCGGCCUUUUUGGCACAGAUGUAUAAAAUAUAGCAGUGCUCCGUUGAAGUAGUUUCGUACGGUGAAUGUGGAAUUUUUGCUAAAGAAACCACGCGUGUGCCAGGCACCAUCGGCAGUAGUAACAGCUCGUGUCCAUGAUCCGAGUUCUUCCUGGCUCAUGUUUUUCAUUCUUUCUUUCUCUCUUGAGCACAUUUCCUCGACCAUUUCUUCUACUACAGGGUGCAUAUCCCUUAUAGUUUGCAUGAAUGUCGGAAAGGACACUGCCGCCAUGCCAAGGAUAUCAAGCACCUUCUUGUAUGUUGCAUGUGUGCAUCCUGCUGUAAUGAAGGCCACCUGUAGUGCCCUGCUGAGUUUGCUCUGUCUGGUUGUGGGGUGAUCCGGAAGAAUGGCACUGUCAAAAGUAUAAUACUUUGAGCAUCUCUUGCAUCUAUAGAUUAUUCGUGCCGCUCCUCCCAUUUGCUGAGUUCUCGCUUCAACAGGAAUAAGCCCUCCACGGCAGCCCGUUCUUUUGCAGCCUCUGCUGAACUUUUGAAUGAAGCUGUCCACCUGUCGCAUCUCUGCGAUUGUGCAAUUGUUUGGAAUAUCUGGUAAAGCGGGCAGCUUGAUUUUAAACUGUCGUAGUGGUGUUGGAAAGUACUCCGAUUCUCUGUCUGACCCGGUAUCGGUAUCGGUAUCGGUUGAAGUCAUCAAUACCUGAUUGAAAGUUUUGAGCUGUGCGGUUCUGUGAGCCUUUCCGGUCCCGUGUUUGCGCAUCCCUGAGAGGCUUGGUUUGGGUGUGACUUGUAUGCUUUGUCUUGGAGUUGAUUGUAAAUCGGACUCCUGUUGCUCCUAAGCAAGAGUGAAUAACAUCAAAUUUGCCUGGACUGUACAUGAUGUGCUGCAUUUAUCUAUAUCAGUGGCGUCUUUUUGAGAGAGGCUGUCGUCAAUUUCCUCCUCCUGAAAGUCAAAGCAAGAAUCUUCAUCUGAAUCUUCAUAUGGAGUGAGGCUGUGGGUAGGACUCUGCGACAGGAGGUCAAAGGCACUCUCCUCCUGGGUCAGAAUCCUCCUCUGAACUGAGGCUGUGGUUAGAACUCGGCCACGGGUCGAAGGCACUCUCCUGUGAAGGUCAGAAUCCUCCUCUGAACUGAGGUUAGGGUUAGAACUCUGCGACCGACCCUCCUCCUGUGAAGGGGUGGAGUCGGACUCUUGCAGCCUGGAGUACUCCUGUAGUUAGUAUCUCGACGUAAGGACAUACACACCUGAUAUGGGUCUUGACGGCAGAAGCUGGAUGGCUCGGUUUUUGGGGUGAGAGACAGCAGACGUACAUGUACAAACCUGAUAUGGGCUGGAUGGCUCGGUUGUUGGGGUGAGAGGUAAGAUUCCUCCUCUGGAGUGAGGCUGUGGUUAGGACUCUGCGACAGGUCAAAGGCACUCUCCUCCUGUGAAGCUGAGGGCACCCGGCUUAGACACGACUGACGGCUAGCCACAGGGAUCACUCGAUUAUGCAGGAGACGAUAUUGGGACCACCCCUACGUACAAGCUGAGGGCACCCGGCUUAGACACGACUGACGGCUAGCCACAGGGAUCACUCGAUUAUGCAGGAGACGAUAUUGGGACCACCCCUACGUGCAAGAUUGAGGAGCGUCUCAUCAAGUCUCCACCUGUCCAUUCUGCGUGGACAGUGCUUGUGUGGGGUCUCGUCAGAAGGGAGCGGGGUCGACACCUCUAUGGACACCACACCCUCUAACGCCCCCACCACUAUCAAACUAGGGGGCACUCCGCAACUUGAGCCACACCCAAUACCCUCGUGAAACCCCCCCCCUUUUCAAGUAAUGGUCAGAGUGUGCAGGGGAUCCCUCCUUGAUGUUUUCGGCAGUCACAAAGUACUCUCGGAUCUGCAGGACUACACCUACCUAUAUCAGGACAUGACGAGCUCAAGCACACCUGUCCAGCAACAUUUUCUCCAUACAACGCCUUCUCAUGGAUCUGACCAAUCAGGUGGAGGUAGCAAGAGUAUGGCCGCCCAGAUUGAGAAUGACGGCAUGGCAGGAUAUCAAUACUGGAGACUGCUGCCAGAAAAAAGUGGUUGACUCCUUCGGAAAGUUGAGGUAGAGUUGAUUGGGAGCAGUGAUAUGAGAAUGAAUUAAGCAGCUAAGGAUGAUAUCAAAGAACAGGAACAGAAAGCGAAUGACUUCGUGGAAUACGCUAGACGGCUCGCUUGUUGGGUUGUGAGAAUCUUCCAUGCUGGUUGCACUGUUGCUCAACUUGGUCCAACCCGCUAGUGUCUCACACUCUCAUUGUUCAUGGGGAUUACCCCGCCCACCUACCAUUUGGUGUUGUGCCUCUGUUGGCUACUAGUAAGUAAGCCAGGCUGUUGUUACGACGACUCUAACAGUGUGUACAACAAGAAUUUCUGCUUACAAGUGAGUUAGAGUAAACACAA